UACGUAGGGUGCAAGCGUUAAUCGGAAUUACUGGGCGUAAAGCGUGCGCAGGCGGUUCUAUAAGACAGAUGUGAAAUCCCCGGGCUCAACCUGGGAACUGCAUUUGUGACUGUAGAGCUGGAGUGCGGCAGAGGGGGAUGGAAUUCCGCGUGUAGCAGUGAAAUGCGUAGAUAUGCGGAGGAACACCGAUGGCGAAGGCAAUCCCCUGGGCCUGCACUGACGCUCAUGCACGAAAGCGUGGGGAGCAAACAG
rnacentral:rRNA from 1 species